GGGGUACAGGUUAGUAAUGAGGUUUUAUACAGGGGGCACCGGUACUGAGUCAGUGUGCAGGGGUACAGGUUAGUAAUGAGGUUUUAUACAGGGGGCACCGGUACCGAGUCAGUGUACAGGGGUACAGGUUAGUAAUGAGGUUUUAUACAGGGGGCACCGGUACUGAGUCAGUGUGCAGGGGUACAGGUUAGUAAUGAGGUUUUAUACAGGGG